GACGAACGCUGGCGGCGUGCUUAACACAUGCAAGUCGAACGGAAAGGCGAUGCUUUUGUGGGGUGCUCGAGUGGCGAACGGGUGAGUAAAACGUGAGUAAACUGCCCUUGACUUUGGGGUAAAUUCAGGAAAAAGGGGAUAAUAUAGGGUAGGAGCUACUGAUGCGUGGGGGGGGUUGGAAAGAUUCGGCGGUUGGGGAUGGAAUAGCGGCUUAUCAGCUUGCUGGUGGGGUAGUGGCUGUCCAAGGCUUUGACGGGUAGCCGGCCUUGGAGGGUGACCGGCCACCUUGCGCCUGAGGUACGGCCCAGACGCCUACGUUAGGCAGCAGUGGGGAACAUUGCACAAUGGGCCGAAGCCUGAUGUGGCAACGCCGCGUGCGUAAUGACGUCUUUCGGGUUGUAAACCGCUUUCUCCUUUGACGAACCGGUAGUGACGGUAAUUGGUAAAAAAGCACCGGCUAACUACGUG
rnacentral:rRNA from 1 species